rnacentral:rRNA from 1 species
UACGUAGGGCGCGAGCGUUGUCCGGAAUUAUUGGGCGUAAAGAGCUCGUAGGCGGUUUGUCACGUCUGCUGUGAAAUCCCGAGGCUCAACCUCGGGCCUGCAGUGGGUACGGGCAGACUAGAGUGCGGUAGGGGAGACUGGAAUUCCUGGUGUAGCGGUGAAAUGCGCAGAUAUCAGGAGGAACACCGGUGGCGAAGGCGGGUCUCUGGGCCGUAACUGACGCUGAGGAGCGAAAGCGUGGGGAGCGAACAGG